CACUACACCAAGGCGCCUUCUUCAGCACUACACCAAGGUGCCUUCUUCAGCACUAAACCAAGGUGACUUCUUCAGCACUAAACCAAGGUGCCUUCUUCAGCACUAAACCAAGGUGCCUUCUUCAGCACCACACCAAGGUGCCUUCUUCAGCACCACACCAAGGUGCCUUCUUCAGCACCACACCAAGGUGCCUUCUUCAGCACCACACCAAGGUGCCUUCUUCAGCACCACACCAAGGUGCCUUCUUCAGCACCACACCAAGGUGCCUUCUUCAGCACCACACCAAGGUGCCUUCUUCAGCACCACACCAAGGUGCCUUCUUCAGCACCACACCAAGGUGCCUUCUUCAGCACCACACCAAGGUGCCUUCUUCAGCACCACACCAAGGUGCCUUCUUCAGCACCACACCAAGGUGACUUCUUCAGCACUACACCAAGGUGCCUUCUUCAGCACCACACCAAGGUGCCUUCUUCAGCACCACACCAAGGCGCCUUCUUCAGCACCACACCAAGGUGCCUUCUUCAGCACUACACCAAGGUGACUUCUUCAGCACUACACCAAGGCGCCUUCUUCAGCACUACAGCCAAGGUGACUUCUUCAGCACUACACCAAGGUGCCUUCUUCAGCACUACACCAAGGCGCCUUCUUCAGCAUUAAACCAAGGUGACUUCAGCACUAUACCAAGGUGCCUUCUUCAGCACUAUACCAAGGCGCCUUCUUCAGCACUACAGCCAAGGCGCCUUCUUCAGCACUAAACCAAGGUGCCUUCUUCAGCAUUACACCAAGGCGCCUUCUUCAGCACCAGCAGAACAACUUUUUUUUGUUCUUAGAUGGUCUCACCCACUCCCGUAAGAGGAAAAAAUUACCCCACUAAAUAUUCAAAAGCCUUAUAAUGAUGAAGGCCAAUGGCUGCACCAAGUAACAUA